rnacentral:rRNA from 1 species
CCUACGGGGGGCUGCAGUGGGGAAUAUUGCACAAUGGGGGAAACCCUGAUGCAGCGACGCCGCGUGAGUGAAGAAGUAAUUCGUUAUGUAAAGCUCUAUCAGCAGGGAAGAAAAUGACGGUACCUGAGUAAGAAGCCCCGGCUAACUACGUGCCAGCAGCCGCGGUAAUACGUAGGGGGCAAGCGUUAUCCGGAUUUACUGGGUGGAAAGGGAGCGUAGACGGCAGUGCAAGUCUGGAGUGAAAGGCGGGGGCUCAACCCCCGGACGGCUCUGGAAACUGUACGGCUGGAGUGCAGGAGAGGUAAGUGGAAUUCCUAGUGUAGCGGUGAAAUGCGUAGAUAUUAGGAGGAACACCAGUGGCGAAGGCGGCUUACUGGACUGUAACUGACGUUGAGGCUCGAAAGCGUGGGGAGCAAACAGGAUUAGAUACCCCUGUAGUC